AAGGAGCAUCUUGUUGUUGACAAACAGCAAAUACUUGAGGGGUGCCCACACCAAUAGGGCGGCGGACAUGACAUAGGCGAUGGACGAGGUCACGAUCAACCAGUAAGCAACAUCACCAUCGCCAGGGGGCUGUGCUGACCUUUUGACCUUGGCAACAAUCACAGCAAACCUCUGCAUGACGAUGAAGAGCGGCACGCACAGGCCCGCAAACUGCAGCACCUCGCACAGGGCGAACUUGAUGGUCCUCCCCGAGCCCAUGCUGAGCCCAUGCUGAGGCUGGGCCAGGUAGAGACCACCCCUAGCAUGUUCCACGCAGCAGACCAACCGCUUACACUGCAGUCGCCAUUGUGUCCGCUAACAAAGCUACGUGACGUCAUCAAGCAAUACUUGACAACAUUUAUUAUUUGUAUAUUGCCAUCAAGUGGACAAACUGCAACAUUACAGCCAAGAAAAGCUUAAUAACUGUUUAAAAAGUCCCUAAGUAAUGGAUAGGAAGCAUUUUGAAGUGGUUUUCGUGAGACCAUCCCAGGAUAUAUCUUUUCCAAAAUGGCAGUGUGUCAGUGGCCGGCCACCUCCACGGCAAGAGGACACUUUUUCUCUGUUUCCACUUGGACGCAGCACACAACUUUCGGUGGGAGGAAAGUCAUGUGGAGGAUCUGUCAAUAAAACCAUUUAUUGAGACGUCUAAUCAUCCUUCUCCACGAUGACCUCCCCGUGGAGAACUCUCCUCCUCUGCCGCAACAUGUGGAAGAAGAGCUGAGGAAACACUGGAAACACAAACAUGAUGACCAUAUUGCAUUUGUUUGCCACCAAAACUGAAGAAAAGUUAGAGAACGCCAGUAGAGGGUAGUAAAAACCUGAUGUCUUCAAAUGGUAAAUAGUUUGACUUAAUUUUAGUUGUAAGGUAGAUCCAAGCUUUUUGCAGCGCUCUACGGGAUCACCAUGAAAUGGUGAAAGGCUGUGAGUAGCUGAUACACAUUUUAAAUUAUAAAAUGUAUACUCACUGCAAAUGAAUGAUAAUGGAAUAUCAUCAACAAACAGAUCGCAUUGGAGUCACAGUGUAGAAGUUAUACAGUCGUUGACUAUGGACUCGUAUUAGUCAAAAAUAUUGAAAGACCAGUCAUUCAUUCAUUCAUUUUCGACCGCUUUUUCCUCACGAGGGUCGCGGGGGUGCUGGAGCCUAUU